rnacentral:rRNA from 1 species
ACAGUUUGAGAGAGGUAGUAACAAGAAAUAACAAUACAAGGCAGUUAAAAUGCUUUGUAAUUGGAAUGAUAGAAAUUUAAACCCUUUUUAAAGUAUCAAUUGGAGGGCAAGUCUGGUGCCAGCAGCCGCGGUAAUUCCAGCUCCAAUAGCGUAUAUUAAAAUUGUUGCAGUUAAAAAGCUCGUAGUUGAAGUUCUGCUGAAAGUAACCGGUCUGCUUUUAAUAAAAGUGGUAUCUUGGUAUGUAUUUAGCAAUGAUGUCCUUUGAAGUGUUUUUUACUUUAUUGUAAUAAAGCAUAUUCAGGACUUUUACUUUGAGAAAAUUAGAGUGUUUCUAGCAGGCUGACGCUUUGAAUACUGCAGCAUGGAAUAAUAAGAUAGGAUUUUAGUUCUACAUUAUUGGUUUUAAGAGCUAAAUUAAUGAUUGAUAGGGACAGUUGGGGGCAUUUGUAUUUAACUGUCAGAGGUGAAAUUCUUAGAUUUGUUAAAGACAAACUACUGCGAAAGCAUUUGCCAAAGAUGUUUUCAUUAAUCAAGAACGAAAGUUAGGGGAUCGAAGACGAUCAGAUACCGUCGUAGUCUUAACUAUAAACUAUGCCGACUAGAGAUUGGAGGUCGUCUUU